rnacentral:rRNA from 1 species
AUGUGGACCUGUCUUCGUCAGCGCUAUGAGCCCUCUGGUGAUGCCUUAUACCUUUCUGUGGUUCGUCAGGAGCAUGCUCUUCAGCAGGGUGACUCUACUGUUGACGACUUUUAUGCACAGAGUUCUGCUAUCUGGCGCCAGCUUGAUUCUCUCCGCAGUGCUGGUUGUCGUACUUGCCCCUGCUGCCAGGCUGUCCAGGCCGAUUUGGAGUUUCAUCGCGUCUACGAGUUCUUGUCUCGGCUCCGUAAGGAGUUUGAGCCCCGGCGUGCUCAGUUGCUUGCUCGUGGCCGUAUUUCUCUCAUGGAGGCGCUUUCAGAGAUUCGUGCUGAGGAGACUCGCCUACGUGGUGCUGGUUUGCUGGAGGUUCCCUCUGUGCUCGCUACUCGGGUUUCUUCCACUCCACCUGCUGCACCGCCCCAUUCUCGCUCGAGUGCUCCGCCGCUCUUGCCCACUCCUUCUGGAGGCUCAGGUCGCCCCCGUUCACAUUGUGACUACUGCAAGAAUGAUGGUCAUAUUGAGUCCCAGUGCUACACCAAGCGGAAACACCUGCGCAAGGCGCGAUCAUCAGGGACU